AUCGGUGUCCAUGGCGACGAGGAAACACCUGUUCCCAUUCCGAACACAGUAGUUAAGCUCGUCAGCGGCGAUUAUACUGCGUAAGCGGGAAACUAGCACGAUGCCGAAU
rnacentral:rRNA from 1 species